UUUCCGUAGGUGAGUAACGACAUCCGCCCCCGAACCCCCGAUUUCCUGGACUAACGUGGUAUUUAGGUGAACCUGCGGAAGGAUCAUUAACGAGUUGGGGUCCCCAGGGCCCGACCUCCCACCCUUUGAUGUUGCGAAUUCGUUGCUUCGGCGGGACCGCCGCGGCCGUGCCGUGGCGACCGGGUGAUUUGCCCGGGCAGUGCCCGCCGGAGGCCAUCACAAACCCUGUUUUCAACCGCGUGGUCGGAGUUUAAACAAAAUAAAUCAAAACUUUCAACAACGGAUCUCUUGGUUCUGGCAUCGAUGAAGAACGCAGC
rnacentral:misc_RNA from 1 species